UCAUACUCUUAGAUCAAAGACUUUGGAAAUUAAAAACUUUGUCAACUCUUACUGGCAUAUUGCUUAUUAGAGGGACCAUGGGCUAUCAUUUUUUUUCAAUUUUUUUAAGUGGAUACCGAGGUACCUCUAAUUCUACUGCCGGACACUUGUCCAUUUUUUUCUGCGAGGUUGUCGAGCACUUGCUCCUUUUUAUUUCCUCGAAAUAUCUCUAUUUUUGCAUAGCCCAUGCCUCUAAUGCAAUAAUACUUCGGAAGAGUGAAUCUUACUGAAAUAGUGUCUUGAUCUUGGGAGCAUGAUAAAUCUCUCAACAAGGGUCUAACUCAUUUUGAACAAACUCAAUAUAGAGCAGAUAGCUUUUAUAAUCAUAAUUAAUAUUUCAGUUUUAUCAGGCAUAUAAAACACUGAGGAUGGUAGCUAGGAAUUUGAACAUUUUGAAAUAAAUUCUCCAAGCAACAAUGAUAUCAAGAAUAAGAAACUCAUACUCUACCAUCACAUAUUCCAUCUUGACUUAAGUAACACAGGGUUUUUUAAAAAUGAUUUUAUACUAAUUGCAAGUUUUCAGGAAAUAUCACAGAUUGAGAUUAAUCAUGAUUAGAAAUAUUUUACUCUUUUUAUUUUAUCAUGUCAGAAACAGUAAUCUGCAUAAUCCAAAAUAAAUGUAUGUAUGAAGUAAAGUGUGCAGAGUGUGUACCUGAAUCGUGGAGUGGUGUAGUCGGAGUGUGUUUAGCAUGUCGAGGGAUCUCCCCCAUACUUGUUUUCUGCUUUCUUGCACAAAAAUAAAGUAGAGACACACAAGACAUAAUAAUAAUACUCUUUAUUGAUCUUGAGGCAUUUAUUACACAAGGAAGAACAAAAUUAUUUUUGGCUAUUCUCUCCCGGAUUAGGAGUAGAAUAUUUUUGGGUGAUUCUGAAGAUGGAAAUGUAUGGAUAUAUGUGGAUGGUACUUCCGG
rnacentral:lncRNA from 1 species